ACCAGACUCCUACGGGAGGCAGCAGUGGGGGAUAUUGCACAAUGGGGGGAACCCUGAUGCAGCGACGCCGCGUGGGUGAAGAAGCGCCUCGGCGCGUAAAGCCCUGUCAGCAGGGAAGAAAAUGACGGUACCUGAAGAAGAAGCCCCGGCUAACUACGUGCCAGCAGCCGCGGUAAUACAUAGGGGGCAAGCGUUAUCCGGAUUUACUGGGUGUAAAGGGGGCGCAGACGGCGAUGCAAGCCAGGAGUGAAAGCCCGGGGCCCAACCCCGGGACUGCUCUUGGAACUGCGUGGCUGGAGUGCAGGAGGGGCAGGCGGAAUUCCUGGUGUAGCGGUGAAAUGCGUAGAUAUCAGGAGGAACACCGGUGGCGAAGGCGGCCUGCUGGACUGCAACUGACGUUGAGGCCCGAAAGCGUGGGGAGCAAACAGGAUUAGAUACCCGUGUAC
rnacentral:rRNA from 1 species